rnacentral:rRNA from 1 species
UAAAAACACUAAAAGCACAAGGAGUGAGUGUCGCUCCUGCUCAAAAAUCUUCGAAAAAGCCUGCGAGAGGCAUACAAAAAUCUAAAAAUGCAUUUUCAAUGCAACAAAUUGCAAAAGUGCUAGAUAAAGCGAAUAAGGCAGAUAUCAAAUUGUUGAAAGAUCAUUGGCAAGAAGUGAUUGAUCAUGCCAAAAACAAUGAUAAAAAAUCACUCGUUAGUUUAUUGCAAAAUUCGGAACCUGUGGCGGCAAGUGAAGAUCACGUACUUGUGAAAUUUGAGGAAGAGAUCCAUUGUGAAAUCGUCAAUAAAGACGACGAGAAACGUAGUAGCAUAGAAAGUGUUGUAUGUAAUAUCGUUAAUAAAAACGUUAAAGUUGUUGGUGUACCAUCAGAUCAAUGGCAAAGAGUUCGAACGGAGUAUUUACAAAAUCGUAAAAACGAAGGUGAUGAUAUGCCAAAGCAACAAGCGCAACAAACAGAUAUUGCUCAAAAAGCAAAAGAUCUUUUCGGUGAAGAAACUGUACAUGUGAUAGAUGAAGAGUGAUACAUGACAAGCGAUAUAAUCGUAUGUAUAAUGAAAGAAACAUCAUUUUAUUGAUAAAUAUUUAUUGAUUUUCAAGGAGGAAAUGGAAUAUGCGCGGUGGCGGAAACAUGCAACAAAUGAUGAAACAAAUGCAAAAAAUGCAAAAGAAAAUGGCUCAAGAACAAGAAAAACUUAAAGAAGAGCGUAUUGUAGGAACAGCUGGCGGUGGCAUGGUUGCAGUUACUGUAACUGGUCAUAAAGAAGUUGUCGACGUUGAAAUCAAAGAAGAAGCUGUAGACCCAGAUGAUAUUGAAAUGCUACAAGACUUAGUGUUAGCAGCUACUAAUGAAGCGAUGAAUAAAGCUGAUGAGCUUACUCAAGAACGUUUAGGUAAACAUACUCAAGGCUUAAACAUCCCUGGAAUGUGAUCAUAGAUGCAUUAUCCAGAACCUAUAUCAAAACUUAUUGAUAGCUUUAUGAAAUUGCCAGGCAUUGGUCCAAAGACAGCCCAACGUCUGGCUUUUCAUACCUUAGAUAUGAAAGAAGACGAUGUUGUUCAGUUUGCCAAAGCAUUAGUAGAUGUUAAGAGAGAAUUAACAUAUUGUAGCGUAUGUGGUCACAUUACUGAAAAUGAUCCAUGUUAUAUUUGUGAAGAUAAGCAAAGAGAUCGUUCAGUUAUUUGUGUUGUGGAAGAUGACAAAGAUGUCAUAGCUAUGGAAAAAAUGAGAGAAUACAAAGGUUUAUAUCACGUUUUACAUGGGUCUAUUUCGCCUAUGGAUGGCAUUGGACCAGAAGAUAUUAAUAUUCCUUCAUUGAUUGAACGCUUAAAAAGCGAUGAAGUUAGCGAAUUAAUCUUAGCUAUGAACCCGAACUUAGAGGGGGAAUCUACAGCCAUGUAUAUUUCUAGAUUAGUUAAGCCUAUAGGUAUCAAAGUGACGAGAUUAGCACAAGGGUUAUCGGUAGGUGGCGAUUUAGAGUAUGCUGACGAAGUAACUUUAUCUAAAGCAAUCGCAGGUAGAACAGAAAUGUAAUGUCUUCUAUUAAACAUUUUUGAAUUUAAUACUAUAGUAAGAAAAGUCACAGUGUAAUCAUUGUGGCUUUUUUUAUGGUGUGGUGUGAUGUACUACUUUAUUUGCGGUGUGGCGGUGGUAUGGUUUACCUAGUUUUACUGAGGGAUGGGUAAUCUUUAGGAAGCAAGCCGUUGGUUGUGAUUUGUUACUUCUAAUAGUAAUGAUGUGAAUUGGAUUAUCGAAUUAGAUCUACGGUUAUGGUGUGUUGGUGCUAUUAAUUUGAUAAAUGCGGUUGAUGGUUAAUGACUAUGCAAAUGAAAUUCUUUUGUAAUUGAAAUGAUAGAUGCUGGCUUAGUAGUUGUACUUCUUUGGUCUAAAGUUUAUUAAAUCAGCCUGUAUAGCGGUGUUUUGAGAGGUUAUUUAAAACUUGUAAAUUUAUUUUUAAUUUCUGGUAAAAAAAUAACGUUCUGUUUUGCGGUUUUUUUGAUUGAUAUGGUUAGAGAAAAAUCUGUUUCUUGUUCUAAAAAACGUACUAUUUAUAAGUGGGGAUUUUUUAAGUUCGAUUUUUAGGAUAAGGGCGUUCAGUACAGAUGACAAAGGUGUAAUUUUUACUGUUGUUAAGCAGUUUGAAAGCCUGUAUAGUAUUUAUUUGUUGAGGCAAACAAAACAACUCAACUUAAGAAAUAACUUGAAUUACUAACGAAAAUUAAUUUUAAAAAGUUGUUGACUUAAAUGUUAAUAAAAUGUAUAAUUAAUUCUUGUCGGUAAGAAAAAUGAACAUUGAAAACUGAAUGACAAUAUGUCAACGUUAAUUCCAAAAAACGUAACUAUAAGUUACAAACAUUAUUUAGUAUUUAUGAGCUAAUCAAACAUCAUAAUUUUUAUGGAGAGUUUGAUCCUGGCUCAGGAUGAACGCUGGCGGCGUGCCUAAUACAUGCAAGUCGAGCGAACGGACGAGAAGCUUGCUUCUCUGAUGUUAGCGGCGGACGGGUGAGUAACACGUGGAUAACCUACCUAUAAGACUGGGAUAACUUCGGGAAACCGGAGCUAAUACCGGAUAAUAUUUUGAACCGCAUGGUUCAAAAGUGAAAGACGGUCUUGCUGUCACUUAUAGAUGGAUCCGCGCUGCAUUAGCUAGUUGGUAAGGUAACGGCUUACCAAGGCAACGAUGCAUAGCCGACCUGAGAGGGUGAUCGGCCACACUGGAACUGAGACACGGUCCAGACUCCUACGGGAGGCAGCAGUAGGGAAUCUUCCGCAAUGGGCGAAAGCCUGACGGAGCAACGCCGCGUGAGUGAUGAAGGUCUUCGGAUCGUAAAACUCUGUUAUUAGGGAAGAACA